rnacentral:rRNA from 1 species
AUUGAACGCUGGCGGCAGGCCUAACACAUGCAAGUCGAACGAGUGGCGGACGGGUGAGUAAUGUCUUGGAAACUGCCCGAUGGAGGGGGAUAACUACUGGAAACGGUAGCUAAUACCGCAUACCAUCGGAUGUGCCCAGAUGGGCUUAGCUAGUAGGUGGGUGAACGGCUCACCAAGGCGACGUUACCUAUCUGGUAUAAGAGGAUGACCAGCCACACUGGAACUGAGACACGGUCCAGACUCCUACGGGAGGCAGCAGUGGGGAAUAUUGCACAAUGGGCGCAAGCCUGAUGCAGCAAUGCCGCGUGUAUGAAGAAGGCAUUCGGGUUGUAAAGUACUUUCAGCGAGGAGGCGUUACUCGCAGAAGAAGCACCGGGUAACUCCGUGCCAGCAGCCGCGGUAAUUC